GCAGCAGCCGCGGUAAUACGUAGGUGGCAAGCGUUGUCCGGAAUUAUUGGGCGUAAAGGGCUCGCAGGCGGUUUCUUAAGUCUGAUGUGAAAGCCCCCGGCUCAACCGGGGAGGGUCAUUGGAAACUGGGAAACUUGAGUGCAGAAGAGGAGAGUGGAAUUCCACGUGUAGCGGUGAAAUGCGUAGAGAUGUGGAGGAACACCAGUGGCGAAGGCGACUCUCUGGUCUGUAACUGACGCUGAGGAGCGAAAGCGUGGGGAGCGAACAGGAUUAGAUACCCCUGUAGUCCCUGUCUCUUAUAA
rnacentral:rRNA from 1 species